CGCUUUGUUAACAAUUACAUAGUGAAACUGCGAAUGGCUCAUUAUAUAAGUUAUCGUUUAUUUGAUAGUUCCUUACUACUUGGAUAACCGUGGUAAUUCUAGAGCUAAUACAUGCUAAAAACCCCGACUUCGGAAGGGGUGUAUUUAUUAAAUUAAAAGCCCAUGCCCUUCGGGGCUCACUGGUGAUUCAUAAUAACUUCUCGAAGCGCAUGGCCUUGCGCCGGCGAUGGUUCAUUCCAAUUUCUUCCCUAUCAACUUUCGAUGCUAUAGUAUUGUUCUAGCAUGGUUACAACGGGAAACGGAGGGUUAGGGCUCGACCCCGGAGAAGGAGCCUGAGAAACGGCUACUACAUCCAGGGAAGGCAGCAGGCGCGCAAAUUACCCAAUCCCGACACGGGGAGGUAAUGACGAUAGAUACUGAUACAGGGCUCUUUUGGGUCUUGUAAUUGGAAUGAGUACAAUUUAAAUCCCUUAACGAGGAGCAAUUGGAGGGCGAGUCUGGUGCCAGCAGCCGCGGUAAUUCCAGCUCCAAUAGCGUAUAUUAAAGUUGUUGUGGUUAACAAGCUCGUAGUAUAACCUUGGGCCUGGCUGGCCGGUCCGCCUCACCGCGUGCACUGGUCCGGCCGGGCCUUUCCCUCUGUGGAAGCGCAUGCCCGUCACUGGGUGUGACGGGGAAACAGGACUUUUACUUUGAAAAAAUUAUAGUGCUCCAGGCAGGCCUUUGCUCGAAUACAUGAACAUGGAAUAAUAGAAUAGGACGUGUGGUUCUAUUUUGUUGAUGACUAGGACCGCCGUAAUGAUUAAUAGGGACAGUCGGGGCAUCAGUAUGCAAUUGUCAAGGUGA
rnacentral:rRNA from 1 species